rnacentral:lncRNA from 1 species
GGAGGGACAAGGGUCAUUAGUCCACAUGGGAGCUGGCUGAGGCUGAUGCCCAGGGAUAGGGGAGCUGAGUGGGUGCAGGCCCAGGAAGUGAGCAAUUGCCAGUGACACCGGGUGAAGGGACAGGAAGUGAGCAAUUGCCAGUGACACCGGGUGAAGGGACAGGUGGAGGAGGAGUUGUGAGCUCAGCUGCACAGGACAUUACUCCAAAUGGGGCUGAGGAGAAGGGGGACCCCCAUACUCCCCACCUCCCAAUGCUGAGGCAUGUGGGUAGGGGGCUACCCAGGAGGGCUUCAGGGAAAAAGUGUUCUGAAGGAAGAGGCAGGAGGGUGGUGAAGGGGACAUUUGGGGGCCACCCCUUCUCCAGCUGGCAAAAUUGUCCUGUCCCUGCUGGGUGCGGUGGCUCAUGCCUGUAAUCCCAGCACCUGGGGAGGCUGAAGCGGGAGGAUCACUUGAGGUCAGGAGUUUGAGACCAGCUUGGGCCACACGGUGAAACCCGCACCCCACCCCCCACCCCGCCCAAUCUCUUCUAAAAAUACAAAAAUCAGCUGGGCAUGGUGGUGCACUCCUGUAAUCCCAGCUACUCGGGAGGCUGAGAGAUGAGAAUCACUUGAACCCAGGAGGCGGAGAUUGCAGUGAGCCGAGAUCGUGCCAUUGUACCCCAGCCUGGGCGACAGAGCAAGACUCCAUCUCAAAAAAAAAAAAAAAAAAAAAAUUUGCCCUGUCCCCUGAGACUCAGAGGUCAGCCCCUGCAGAGUCCCUUCUGCACACCCCCAGCCCCACCCCAGCCUUAGCAGCCCUCUGUCUGGGCAGGACUUUGUGGCCCUCUCUCCAGUCUGGAGACCAGAAGGCCAGGAAGGGAGGCCAGGCAUGGUGGCUUAUGCUUGUAAUUUCAGCACUUUGGGAGGCCAAGGUGGGAGCAUCUCUUGAGCUCAGGAGUUCCAAACUAGCCUGGGCAACAUGGCGAGACCCCAUCUCUACAAAAAAUAAAAAAAUUAGCUGGGUGGUGGCACAUACCUAUAAUCCCAGCUACUUGGGAGGCUGAGGUGGGAGGAUUGCUUGAACCCAGGGGUUCAAGGCUGCAGUGAGCUAUGAUCGUGCCACUGCACUCAAGCCUGGGUGACAGAGACCCUGCCUCUACAAAAAAAAAGAAAGUUAGCUAGGUGCCUGUAGUGCCUGUAAUCCCAGCACUUUGGGAGGCCAAGCUGGGACUGCAGGUUCACACUACCAUGUCUGGCUAAUUUUUCUUUUGUUUUGUUUUGAGACAGUCUUGUUCUCUGUCACCCAGGCUGGAGUGCAGUGGCAUGAUCUGGGCUCACUGAAACCUCCUUCACCUGGGUUCAAGUGAUUCUCCUGCCUCAGCCUCCACAGUAGCAGGGAUUACAGGCAUGCACCACCAUGGCUGGCUAAUUUUUGUAUUUUGUAUAGAGACGGGUUUUCACCAUGUUGGCCAGGUUGGUCUCAAACUCCUGACCUCAGGUGAUCCUCCUGCUUCUGCCUCCCAAAAUGCUGGGAUUCCAAGUGUGAGCCACCACGCCUGGCCUUAACCACCAUGCCCGGCCUUAAUUUUUGUAUUUAUGUUUUGUAGAGAUGGGGUGUUGCUAUGUUGCCCAGGCUGGACUUGAACUCUUGGUCUCAAGCAAUCCUCCCACCUCGGCCUCCCAAAGCACUAGGAUUAGAGGUGUGAGCCAUCUGCACCUGGCCUAACCAUUGCUUUUUAUGUAAGGGGAAACUGAGGCCCAGAGAGUGUGAGUGAUCUGUCUUGGGUCACUCAGCCCCAGGGUUGGGGCUCAUAGCUGUUCUGAAAAGGUUCUGGAGAGGCCAGGGCUUAUCUCACAGAGGUUGGCAGCCUGUCUGCCCCAUCCCCUGCCUGCCUCUCCCAGCCUGGUAGCUUCAAGAUCAUUUGAGCAUUUCCUCCACAGCAGGAGCCGGAUGCAUCUGCUCCACCUAAUAACCCCAUUAGGGCCAUUUGCGCCUCUCAGGGGCAGGCGCCUGGGAACCCAGCCAGCGCCCUCCUCCCUGACCUCUUGCCCCAGAGGGCAGGGCCCCUCCACAUGGCACAGGGUGUCUUCCGGUCUCCUCUCCAUCCCUCACCCUCCCCUACCUGCCCAUCAGCAACACAUUGCUCCUCCUGCCUGGCACCCUUCCAAGGUCCACCUGGCCCAAGUGUCCUGCUCCUUCUUCAAAGCCACCCCUCCCCAAGAUGCUGCCUCUGAAGCUCCAACAGUCCAUCUCCCUGACAGUUGUGUCCUCUCCUUCUCUCGUAUGUGGUAGUAUCACUGUCUUCCCCCUAAAGCAGUGGGCACCUUGAGGGCAGAACCUUGCCGCGGGCAUCUCUGGCCCCUGGGGUCCGAGCACUGAGCGGGAAUCCUGAUGAUAAGUGUUGCAUGAGCUGGGCACAGUGGCUCACGCCUGUAAUCCCAGCAGGAGGAUCACUUGAGACCAGGAGUUCGAGACCAGCCUGAGCAACAUAGUGAGACCCCGUCUCUAAAGAAAUUUAAAAAAUUAGCCAGACAUAGUGCCAUGUACCUAUAGUCCAAGCUACUUAGGAGGCUGAGGCGGAAGGAUCGCUUGCACCCAGGAGUUUGAGGCUGCAAUGAGCUAUGAUCACACCACUGUUCUUUCCAGCCUGGGCAACAGAGUGAGAUUCCAUGUCUACAAAAAAAUUAAAAAUUAGCCGGACGUGGUGUCAUGUGCCUGUAGUCCCAGCUACUCUCAGGAGGCUGAGGUGGGAGGAUCACCGGAGCCCAGGAAUUAGAGACUGCAGUGAGCUAUGAUGGUGCCACUGCACUCCAGCCUGGGCUAUAAG